ACUCCUACGGGAGGCAGCAGUGGGGAAUAUUGCACAAUGGGCGCAAGCCUGAUGCAGGCCAUGCCGCNGUGUGUGAAGAAGGCCUUCGGGUUGUAAAGCACUUUCAGUCAGGAGGAAAGGUUAGUAGUUAAUACCUGCUAGCUGUGACGUUACUGACAGAAGAAGCACCGGCUAACUCC
rnacentral:rRNA from 1 species